rnacentral:rRNA from 1 species
CACGUAGGCGGAUUGCUAAGUCAGGGGUGAAAUCCCGGGGCUCAACCUCGGAACUGCCUUUGAUACUGACAGUCUUGAGUCCGGAAGAGGUGAGUGGAAUUCCUAGUGUAGAGGUGAAAUUCGUAGAUAUUAGGAAGAACACCAGUGGCGAAGGCGGCUCACUGGUCCGGUACUGACGCUGAGGUGCGAAAGCGUGGGGAGCAAACAG